AGAGUUUGAUCAUGGCUCAGAUUGAACGCUGGCGGCAGGCCUAACACAUGCAAGUCGAGCGGAUGAAGGGAGCUUGCUCCUGGAUUCAGCGGCGGACGGGUGAGUAAUGCCUAGGUAUCUGCCUGGUAGUGGGGGAUAACGUCCGGAAACGGGCGCUAAUACCGCAUACGUCCUGAGGGAGAAAGUGGGGGAUCUUCGGACCUCACGCUAUCAGAUGAGCCUAGGUCGGAUUAGCUAGUUGGUGGGGUAAAGGCCUACCAAGGCGACGAUCCGUAACUGGUCUGAGAGGAUGAUCAGUCACACUGGAACUGAGACACGGUCCAGACUCCUACGGGAGGCAGCAGUGGGGAAUAUUGGACAAUGGGCGAAAGCCUGAUCCAGCCAUGCCGCGUGUGUGAAGAAGGUCUUCGGAUUGUAAAGCACUUUAAGUUGGGAGGAAGGGCAGUAAGUUAAUACCUUGCUGUUUUGACGUUACCAACAGAAUAAGCACCGGCUAACUUCGUGCCAGCAGCCGCGGUAAUACGAAGGGUGCAAGCGUUAAUCGGAAUUACUGGGUGUAAAGCGCGCGUAGGUGGUUCAGCAAGUUGGAUGUGAAAUCCCCGGGCUCAACCUGGGAACUGCAUCCAAAACUACUGAGCUAGAGUACGGUAGAGGGUGGUGGAAUUUCCUGUGUAGCGGUGAAAUGCGUAGAUAUAGGAAGGAACACCAGUGGCGAAGGCGACCACCUGGACUGAUACUGACACUGAGGUGCGAAAGCGUGGGGAGCAAACAGGAUUAGAUACCCAGGUAGUCACGCCGUAAACGAUGUCGACUAGCCGUUGGGAUCCUUGAGAUCUUAGUGGCGCAGCUAACGCGAUAAGUCGACCGCCUGGGGAGUACGGCCGCAAGGUUAAAACUCAAAUGAAUUGACGGGGGCCCGCACAAGCGGUGGAGCAUGUGGUUUAAUUCGAAACAACGCGAAGAACCUUACCUGGCCUUGACAUGCUGAGAACUUUCCAGAGAUGGAUUGGUGCCUUCGGGAACUCAGACACAGGUGCUGCAUGGCUGUCGUCAGCUCGUGUCGUGAGAUGUUGGGUUAAGUCCCGUAACGAGCGCAACCCUUGUCCUUAGUUACCAGCACCUCGGGUGGGCACUCUAAGGAGACUGCCGGUGACAAACCGGAGGAAGGUGGGGAUGACGUCAAGUCAUCAUGGCCCUUACGGCCAGGGCUACACACGUGCUACAAUGGUCGGUACAAAGGGUUGCCAAGCCGCGAGGUGGAGCUAAUCCCAUAAAACCGAUCGUAGUCCGGAUCGCAGUCUGCAACUCGACUGCGUGAAGUCGGAAUCGCUAGUAAUCGUGAAUCAGAAUGUCACCGUGAAUACGUUCCCGGGCCUUGUACACACCGCCCGUCACACCAUGGGAGUGGGUUGCUCCAGAAGUAGCUAGUCUAACCGCAAGGGGGACGGUUACCACGGAGUGAUUCAUGACUGGGGUGAAGUCGUAACAAGGUA
rnacentral:rRNA from 1 species